rnacentral:lncRNA from 1 species
GGAUAGCUGACUCAGGCAUUCACCGAUAUGGUACCCGAAGGAAUCAACAAAGAAGAUGAGGAUAGUGAUUGCGACAUUGACAACUGGGUGCGUCCGAGGAUCCCGGGUAAAUUUCUCCGUAAUUGGUCUUCUGAAGAGAUUAUCCAAGUCACUCUUCUUGAAGAGUAAUUUUCUUUGUUUAUUCAUGUAUGUCCAAGUCUUACGUUCCG